UCUAAUUGCUGCUGCUAGUGGUUCAAUAAAAAUUGCAAACAGUGAAGGGGAGAGUGGGCAUCCCUGCCUGGUGCCCCUCAAGAGACAGAAGCUGGAGGAUGUCUGGUCAUUUGUUCUAACACAAGCUGUUGGGGAAUUAUAUAAUAUUUUUAACCAGUUUAUGAAAGAGGAUCCAAAACCAAAUUUGUGUAAAGUUGCAAAUAGAAAUUUCCAGUUAACUGUCGAAUGCUUUUUCUGCGUCUAAAGAGAAUAUUGUAGUUUCUAGGUUUUUACUGUAUGAGUAGUCUAUCAAAUUAAGUAAUCUACGUGUAUUUGUUGAUGAGUGCCUACCUUUUAUGAAACCAGUUUGGUCAGGAUGAAUUAAGAGGGGGGUUAUUUUCUCCAGUCUCUUUGAGAGAGCUUUGCAGAUUAUUUUAAGGUCUACGUUUAUAAGGGAUAUUGGACGAUAGCUUGAGGGAUAUACAGGGUCUUUGCCUGGUUUUAGCAGGAGAUUAAUGUUUGCAGAAUUCAUAUUUGAUGGAAGUCUGCCCUUUUCUUUAAUUUCCAACAACGUUCUGUAGAAAACUGGUGCUAGAAUCGACCAGAAUUCUUUGUAGAAUUCUGCAGGAAAGCCGUCUGGACCUGGAGCCUUAUUAUUGGGCAUACUUAUCAGGGCUUCUUGGAGUUCACCUGGUGUCAGUGGUGAAUCCAGUGCCAUUGCUUGAGUGUCCAAUAAUUUUGGAAGAGUUAUGUUGUCCAAAAACUGAUCAAUUUCUUUUUUAGAUGGGUUUAUUUGUGGUGAAUACAACGUUUUAUAGAAAUCCCUGAAAAUGUUGUUUAUUUGUAUCGGAUCAUAUAUUGUGUUCCCAGAUGAAUCUUGAACAGCACAUAUAGUUGUUUUUUCUUUAUUUAUUUUUAGCUGGUUUGCUAGAAAUUGACCGGAUUUAUUACCAUGUUCAUAAUUUUGUAGGCGUAGUCUUUGUACUAAGAAUUUUGUUUUUUUAUCAAUUAUCUCAUUUAAUUCUAGUUUUGUUUUGCGUAUUUUGUUCAAUGUUUCCUGAUCUUGGUGGGACGCGUAGGCUUCUUCUAGUGAUUUGAUGUUUUUUUCUAAUUCCUGAAUAUUUAACGAGGUUAGUCAUUAAUGUAUUGCUGCAUGGGCUGGGCUGUAAUUGCAUCGUAAGGUUUUAAAAACUGAGCUUUAAAAUGAAUAGUGAUAAUAAAAACUGAGAGAGGUCGACAGUGAUCACUGACUUUUUUUAGGGGCUUGUUCAGAUUAAAUAGAAAAAGAUACAAAGCAUUAAGACACAACAGCUUUAAUAAACACAGAGUAGUUUGGACCUGGAAGCAGGGUUCAUAUGUCAUCACUUAAAGACCGGAUAUCCCACCUGCUUUGAUGUCUUAAUGCAGUACAGUUGUUAUUAUAUCACUUGUCGCAUCCUGUUUAUGACAGUUAAAAUAAAUAACAUCCAUAUAAGAAAUAAAAUUGUCUUGUGUAAACUGUAUAUGGUGUUAAAUAGGCCUAUACUACUGUACUUUAAUGUCGGGCAUAAGGGUGGUACUUUAAGAACCAUAUAUUUUAUACGGUGGUACUCAUUGUGAAAAGUUUGAGAACCACUGACCUAAAGGAUUAAUUAUUAGAAUCUCGGCUUCAGAUAGGGUGUCAACCAUUAUAACCUUGUUGGAUAGAUCAACAAAUGAAGCUGGGUUCAUUUAAAGAUCUAACUAGGCCUGUUGUCUUAUUGGUCCUCUUUCCCAAGAUUGAAAGAACUUUCUAAAAUCUUUUGAAAAAAGAUUCUGAAUUCUAAUAAGGAUUUUCUAAAUAUUAUAUAGAAAAUCAUUUCACUAAAAACACAAUAAAAAUUGUAUUGAAGAAUCAGGCAAGUUACAGAAUCAAGUGUUGUUUAUUUUGUCUACACUUUCCAGGUCUAUACUACCGUAGCAAAGGGUGUCAUGGUCCUGAGUCUGCCGACUCAGUGUUUUAUGUUUCUUUAUGCUUUUGUUCAUUUAUACAUAUUCUGUUACGAAUUGCCAUUUGUUAGGUUUCUGUUCUGUGCUUUCCCUGGUUCCACUUCUGUGUUCUGUCUGUCUAUGGUGUCACACUGUCUGUGUGUGAAUCUGUCUGUUUAGUUCAGCGUCUUGUCCAGUUCUGUGUCUGUGAGUUUCCUGUUUUAUUCUGAAGGUCUCUAUCUCAUGUGAGUGUGUUCAGUUUACGUUUCCCCUGUCCCGUCAGCUUUGAUGUUCUCCUGCCUGUUGCCGGUUCGUCACUGCCUCUCCCCCAUUCUGGAACCCUCUCAGGUUUGUCAUUUAGCUUUCCCAGUGUAGGUCUUUAGUUUUGUCUUCCUUCUUUGCCUGUUUUGCCAUCUCACCACUGUGUAAAUAAAACAUCACUAGCAUUAUCAUCUACUGCCUGCGUUUUGGGUCCUUUCUCCCUUCUACACCACACGGCUCGCCUCGGCAGCCGUGACAAAGGGUUUAUAUAUGACAUAUAAAUAUAUAUAUAUAUAUAUGUAUGUGUACAUGAUAUACCCCAAUGAAGAUAAUUAGAUGGCAUGAGUUUUAUAUUUAAUUUGUCAAUUUACAAUUAACUGUGUAAUUAAUUUAAAUAAUGUUUCAAACAAUUGGGUUCUUAUAUAAUUCGAAAUUUACCAAAAGAAAAAUAUUGCAGUGAUGUGAAUGGUUUUGGAAAAAGAUUUAUUUAGGGAUCAAAUUUAUGUUAAACAUGCAUUUUUCUUUCAUUUAAAUAUGAAUAUAUAUGGAGUCACAGUUUUCAAAUAUUCUUGUUAGUUUUGAUUUUACUGUAUUCUUUGUGCUUCUGUAUUCUAACACAAGACAACAGAAUAAAUAUGUUGAAAGAAGAUUAAUUAGAAAUCAGCAUAAAAAUGUAAUUAGAAAUGUUAAGAUUAUCUGUUAAACUUUAAUAUUUUGCAUUUGUGAAAAAAAUAACAUGUUAAAGGAAUACUUUUACAUUACAUAACUAGUUGUUUAAAAAUUAGAUGAUUGACAUCAGACUGGUACUCUUACGUUGUUAGGUUAAUAUGAUUAACGGGAAAAACACAUUUUCCAAAUACACACAUAUUAAUAUAACUAAAAAGUAAAACAAAAGGUAAAUGGACUGAUUUUUAUGUAGCACUUUUCUUGCCUCUCAUUUUUUCUUUAUACAUCCUUGCUUGCAGUAGGCACAAUAACGGGAGCAACAGCGAUAACAGGAAAGUCUGAGCUGACUGAGGAGUCCAGGAGAUCUCUCUGGUGCUGCUUCAGAUUCUUCUACCUUUAUUUGCUCUUGAUAGAUAUUUGGAGAAUCUAGUUGAACUGUUUGAUUAGCUUUGUUGCUAGUUGUCAGUGUCUUAGACGCUUUGUUUUGUAUGUAGAAUUUCUCAAUCUCACUAAGCAUGCGGACCUUAAGUUGUUGGAGCUCGGUAUAUUUUUCAUCAAGUGAUUUGUGUUCUCCAUCCCUGCCACUUACAGAUAAAAACGUAUUACUUUGCCCAUGUUCCAACAUUUUUCUUGUUUUCUCAACUGAUGUCUUUUCUUUCUGAAAUAUUGAUCUCCUAACAAAAUGAUUGAUCACCUUUACUCUUUUAUCCAUAUUGUUUCUCAUUUCUUGACCUCUGAGCUUCAUCUGAUUUAUUUCAUUUCGUUCUAUUCUAGUGUCCUUCCAGAUUUGUUUCAAAAACUCAGUUUUUAAAAUUCCCUUCUGUGUGAAGUCAUCUUCCUCUGCUGACAAGAUGGACAACGUUGCAAGAUUUGUUUUCUUGACAUUUCCAAAUUCUUCACCUUCUCCUACUAACAGCAGACCUUCCUUGUCAGGUGUCAAGUAUCUUUUGCUUCCUUCAAGAUUAACUGCAACAUCCUUCAUCCUCUGCUUAAAUUCAUGUUCAUUGGUCUCUUCAUCCUGAUGCUCAUGUAAGCAUUGUUUUACAACAUCCUCAGUUUGGAUUGCUUUGUCAAAUGUUGUCUUAAACACAUGUUUCUUUUGUUGUUGUAUCUUGUCAUAAUCUGCAGUAAUUUUAAUUUUCUGCUUAUAAAUUCUGACCCAAUUUUGUUCAUAUGUGGAGAUCACUUGUAAUAUUUUUUCAUUUUCCCCCUCUACUCUCUUAAUAUAUGUCGGCAAGUCUUGAUGAAUCAGUCUAUUUAGUUUUCCUAUAAGGUUUCUUGUAGAGAUUGUAACACUACUGAGGAUGUCCUCUCUGGGUUGUACAUCAGACAGUUCACCUUUCAGGGAUUUCCUCGCAAUUAGUUUCACUUUCAGAAUCUCUAGUGAUUUCAUUUCAUCCAUGACUUGGUCUCCCCUCAUUUCCAUCCCAGACUGCUGUUCUUCCACAUUUCUCCUUUCCUUCAACAACAGUUCUUGUUCUUUGGCAAUGUCAGUCUUCAUCUCUUUCAUCUCUUCUUUUUCUUCACUCAUGAUUCCCUUUGCACGUUCAAGCUCUUCUUGCUUCUUCUUCAGAUUCCUCAUCAGACUCUCCACUUUUGCUCUUUCACUCUGUAAUUCCUUUUUCAUGAUUUCCACUUCUUUUGUUUGUCUUCUGAGGUCAUCUUCCUUGACUUUUUCUUCAUUAUGUGUUAAGAAAAUCUUGCUUAAAAUGUCUUCAAGUCUUUCUUUUUCCAUUUGAACCUGAAGGAUACAAUUUUUAAUCUUGGCUUUUUCUUCAUUUGUCUCAUGUAACAGCCUGUUUACAUGUUCCAUCUUAUUGAGCAGUUCAAGCUUUAUGAUUUCCAUUGAGUCUCGUUCUUCUUUUAUAUUUUGUUUCUUUUCUUCCAAUAUUUCAAAUUGUUUCUUGAUGUCAGACAUCAACACCUUCAAAUCCAUUUUCUCUCUAUUCAGCUCCUCACUUUCUCUCUCCAGAUCUUCUCUGUCGUGUCUCAGAUCUUCUUUCACUUCAUCAAGCUCUCGUUUGUCCAGUUCAAACUGCUGCUUCCAUUCAUUUUCUGUGCAUUCUCUCUUGGUGACCAUGUCUGAAAGGAUACUUCUCACACCUUCCUUUUCUCUCUCUAACAUUUCAGUGAAACAGCGAAUGCUUUCUUUCAGUUCAUCUUGGGUUGGAAGUUUUUCUUUCAACACUGUUUGCAGCCUUGACCUGUUGUCAACAUUUUGUAGUAAUCUCUCCAUUUUGGCUUUUAUAUCCUCCUUCAGUUGUUGAAGUUUCACUUUCAGAAUCUCUAGCAAUUUCAUUUCAUCCAUGACUUGGUCUCCUCUCAUUUCCAUCUCAGACCGCUCUUCUUCCAUAUUUCUCCUUUCCUUCAACAACAGUUCUUGUUCUUUGGCAAUGUCAGUCUUCAUCUCUUUCAUCUCUUCUUUUUCUUCACUCAUGAUUCCCUUUGCACGUUCAAGCUCUUCUUGCUUCUUCUUCAGAUUCCUCAUCAGACUCUCCACUUUUGCUCUUUCACUCUGUAAUUCCUUUUUCAUGAUUUUCACUUCUUUUGUUUGACUUCUGAGUUCAUCUUCCUUGACUUUUUCUUCAUUAUGUGUUAAGAAAAUCUUGCUUAAAAUGUCUUCAAGUCUUUCUUUUUCCGUUUGAACCUGAAGGAUACAAUUUUUAAUCUUGGCUUUUUCGUCAUUUGUCUCAUGUAACAGCCUGUUUACAUGUUCCAUCUUAUUGAGCAGUUCAAGCUUUAUGGUUUCCAUUGAGUCUCGUUCUUCUUUUAUAUUUUGUUUCUUUUCUUCCAAUAUUUCAAAUUGUUUCUUGAUGUCAGACAUCAACACCUUCAAAUCCAUUUUCUCUUUAUUCAGCACCUCACUUUCUCUCUCCAGAUCUUCUCUGUCGUGUCUCAGAUUUUCUUUCACUUCAUCAAGCUCUCGUUUGUCCAAUUCAAACUGCUGCUUCCAUUCAUUUUCUGUGCUUUCUCUCUUGGUGACCAUUUCUGAAAGGAUACUUCUCACACCUUCCUUUUCUCUCUCUAACAUUUCAGUGAAACAGCGAAUGCUUUCUUUCAGUUCGUCUUGGGUUGGAAGUUUUUCUUCCAACACUGUUUGCAGCCUUGACCUGUUGUCAACAUUUUGUAGUAAUCUCUCCAUUUUGGCUUUUAUAUCCUCCUUCAGUUGUUGAAGUUUCACUUUCAGAAUCUCUAGCAAUUUCAUUUCAUCCAUGACUUGGUCUCCUCUCAUUUCCAUCUCAGACCGCUCUUCUUCCAUAUUUCUCCUUUCCUUCAACAACAGUUCUCGUUCUUUGGCAAUGUCAGUCUUCAUCUCUUUCAUCUCUUCUUUUUCUUCACUCAUGAUUCCCUUUGCACGUUCAAGCUCUUCUUGCUUCUUCUUCAGAUUCCUCAUCAGACUCUCCACUUUUGCUCUUUCACUCUGUAAUUCCUUUUUCAUGAUUUCCACUUCUUUUGUUUGACUUCUGAGUUCAUCUUCCUUGACUUUUUCUUCAUUAUGUGUUAAGAAAAUCUUGCUUAAAAUGUCUUCAAGUCUUUCUUUUUCCGUUUGAACCUGAAGGAUACAAUUUUUAAUCUUGGCUUUUUCGUCAUUUGUCUCAUGUAACAGCCUGUUUACAUGUUCCAUCUUAUUGAGCAGUUCAAGCUUUAUGGUUUCCAUUGAGUCUCGUUCUUCUUUUAUAUUUUGUUUCUUUUCUUCCAAUAUUUCAAAUUGUUUCUUGAUGUCAGACAUCAACACCUUCAAAUCCAUUUUCUCUUUAUUCAACACCUCACUUUCUCUCUCCAGAUCUUCUCUGUCAUGUUUUAGAUCUUCUUUCACUUUAUCAAGUUCUCGUUUGUCCAGUUCAAACUGCUUCUUCCAUUCAUUUUCUGUGCAUUCUCUCUUGGUGACCAUGUCUGAAAGGAUACUUCUCACACCUUCCUUUUCUCUCUCUAACAUUUCAGUGAAACAGCGAAUGCUUUCUUUCAGUUCGUCUUGGGUUGGAAGUUUUUCUUCCAACACUGUUUGCAGCCUUGACCUGUUGUCAACAUUUUGUAGUAAUCUCUCCAUUUUGGCUUUUAUAUCCUCCUUCAGUUGUUGAAGUUUCACUUUCAGAAUCUCUAGCAAUUUCAUUUCAUCCAUGACUUGGUCUCCUCUCAUUUCCAUCUCAGACCGCUCUUCUUCCAUAUUUCUCCUUUCCUUCAACAACAGUUCUCGUUCUUUGGCAAUGUCAGUCUUCAUCUCUUUCAUCUCUUCUUUUUCUUCACUCAUGAUUCCCUUUGCACGCCCAAGCUCUUCUUGCUUCUUCUUCAGAUUCCUCAUCAGACUCUCCACUUUUGCUCUUUCACUCUGUAAUUCCUUUUUCAUGAUUUCCACUUCUUUUGUUUGACUUCUGAGGUCAUCUUCCUUGACUUUUUCUUCAUUAUGUGUUAAGAAAAUCUUGCUUAAAAUGUCUUCAAGUCUUUCUUUUUCCGUUUGAACCUGAAGGAUACAAUUUUUAAUCUUGGCUUUUUCGUCAUUUGUCUCAUGUAACAGCCUGUUUACAUGUUCCAUCUUAUUGAGCAGUUCAAGCUUUAUGGUUUCCAUUGAGUCUCGUUCUUCUUUUAUAUUUUGUUUCUUUUCUUCCAAUAUUUCAAAUUGUUUCUUGAUGUCAGACAUCAACACCUUCAAAUCCAUUUUCUCUUUAUUCAGCACCUCACUUUCUCUCUCCAGAUCUUCUCUGUCGUGUCUCAGAUCUUCUUUCACUUUAUCAAGCUCUCGUUUGUCCAGUUCAAACUGCUGCUUCCAUUCAUUUUCUGUGCAUUCUCUCUUGGUGACCAUUUCUGAAAGGAUACUUCUCACACCUUCCUUUUCUCUCUCUAACAUUUCAGUGAAACAGCGAAUGCUUUCUUUCAGUUCGUCUUGGGUUGGAAGUUUUUCUUCCAACACUGUUUGCAGCCUUGACCUGUUGUCAACAUUUUGUAGUAAUCUCUCCAUUUUGGCUUUUAUAUCCUCCUUCAGUUGUUGAAGUUUCACUUUCAGAAUCUCUAGCAAUUUCAUUUCAUCCAUGACUUGGUCUCCUCUCAUUUCCAUCUCAGACCGCUCUUCUUCCAUAUUUCUCCUUUCCUUCAACAACAGUUCUCGUUCUUUGGCAAUGUCAGUCUUCAUCUCUUUCAUCUCUUCUUUUUCUUCACUCAUGAUUCCCUUUGCACGUUCAAGCUCUUCUUGCUUCUUCUUCAGAUUCCUCAUCAGACUCUCCACUUUUGCUCUUUCACUCUGUAAUUCCUUUUUCAUGAUUUCCACUUCUUUUGUUUGUCUUCUGAGGUCAUCUUCCUUGACUUUUUCUUCAUUAUGUGUUAAGAAAAUCUUGCUUAAAAUGUCUUCAAGUCUUUCUUUUUCCGUUUGAACCUGAAGGAUACAAUUUUUAAUCUUGGCUUUUUCGUCAUUUGUCUCAUGUAACAGCCUGUUUACAUGUUCCAUCUUAUUGAGCAGUUCAAGCUUUAUGGUUUCCAUUGAGUCUCGUUCUUCUUUUAUAUUUUGUUUCUUUUCUUCCAAUAUUUCAAAUUGUUUCUUGAUGUCAGACAUCAACACCUUCAAAUCCAUUUUCUCUUUAUUCAGCACCUCACUUUCUCUCUCCAGAUCUUCUCUGUCGUGUCUCAGAUCUUCUUUCACUUUAUCAAGCUCUCGUUUGUCCAGUUCAAACUGCUGCUUCCAUUCAUUUUCUGUGCAUUCUCUCUUGCAAUUUCAUUUCAUCCAUGACUUGGUCUCCUCUCAUUUCCAUCUCAGACCGCUCUUCUUCCAUAUUUCUCCUUUCCUUCAACAACAGUUCUCGUUCUUUGGCAAUGUCAGUCUUCAUCUCUUUCAUCUCUUCUUUUUCUUCACUCAUGAUUCCCUUUGCACGUUCAAGCUCUUCUUGCUUCUUCUUCAGAUUCCUCAUCAGACUCUCCACUUUUGCUCUUUCACUCUGUAAUUCCUUUUUCAUGAUUUCCACUUCUUUUGUUUGUCUUCUGAGGCCAUCUUCCUUGACUUUUUCUUCAUUAUGUGUUAAGAAAAUCUUGCUUAAAAUGUCUUCAAGUCUUUCUUUUUCCGUUUGAACCUGAAGGAUACAAUUUUUAAUCUUGGCUUUUUCGUCAUUUGUCUCAUGUAACAGCCUGUUUACAUGUUCCAUCUUAUUGAGCAGUUUAAGCUUUAUGGUUUCCAUUGAGUCUCGUUCUUCUUUUAUAUUUUGUUUCUUUUCUUCCAAUAUUUCAAAUUGUUUCAUGAUGUCAGACAUCAACACCUUCAAAUCCAUUUUCUCUUUAUUCAGCACCUCACUUUCUCUCUCCAGAUCUUCUCUGUCGUGUCUCAGAUCUUCUUUCACUUCAUCAAGCUCUCGUUUGUCCAGUUCAACCUGCUGCUUCCAUUCAUUUUCUGUGCUUUCUCUCUUGGUGACCAUUUCUGAAAGGAUACUUCUCACACCUUCCUUUUCUCUCUCUAACAUUUCAGUGAAACAGCGAAUGCUUUCUUUCAGUUCGUCUUGGGUUGGAAGUUUUUCUUCCAACACUGUUUGCAGCCUUGACCUGUUGUCAACAUUUUGUAGUAAUCUCUCCAUUUUGGCUUUUAUAUCCUCCUUCAGUUGUUGAAGUUUCACUUUCAGAAUCUCUAGCAAUUUCAUUUCAUCCAUGACUUGGUCUCCUCUCAUUUCCAUCUCAGACCGCUCUUCUUCCAUAUUUCUCCUUUCCUUCAACAACAGUUCUCGUUCUUUGGCAAUGUCAGUCUUCAUCUCUUUCAUCUCUUCUUUUUCUCCACUCAUGAUUUCCUUUGCACGUUCAAGCUCUUCUUGCUUCUUCUUCAGAUUCCUCAUCAGACUCUCCACUUUUGCUCUUUCACUCUGUAAUUCCUUUUUCAUGAUUUCCACUUCUUUUGUUUGUCUUCUGAGGCCAUAUUCCUUGACUUUUUCUUCAUUAUGUGUUAAGAAAAUCUUGCUUAAAAUGUCUUCAAGUCUUUCUUUUUCCAUUUGAACCUGAAGGAUACAAUUUUUAAUCUUGGCUUUUUCGUCAUUUGUCUCAUGUAACAGCCUGUUUACAUGUUCCAUCUUAUUGAGCAGUUCAAGCUUUAUGGUUUCCAUUGAGUCUCGUUCUUCUUUUAUAUUUUGUUUCUUUUCUUCCAAUAUUUCAAAUUGUUUCAUGAUGUCAGACAUCAACACCUUCAAAUCCAUUUUCUCUUUAUUCAGCACCUCACUUUCUCUCUCCAGAUCUUCUCUGUCGUGUCUCAGAUCUUCUUUCACUUUAUCAAGCUCUCGUUUGUCCAGUUCAAACUGCUGCUUCCAUUCAUUUUCUGUGCAUUCUCUCUUGGUGACCAUGUCUGAAAGGAUACUUCUCACACCUUCCUUUUCUCUCUCUAACAUUUCAGUGAAACAGCGAAUGCUUUCUUUCAGUUCGUCUUGGGUUGGAAGUUUUUCUUCCAACACUGUUUGCAGCCUUGACCUGUUGUCAACAUUUUGUAGUAAUCUCUCCAUUUUGGCUUUUAUAUCCCCCUUCAGUUGUUGAAGUUUCACUUUCAGAAUCUCUAGCGAUUUCAUUUCAUCCAUGACUUGGUCUCCUCUCAUUUCCAUCUCUUUCUCUUCAUCUUUGAUGUUUCUCCUUACCUUCAACAACAGUUCUUUUCUAUUCUCACGUCUAGUUUUCAUCUGGAUGACUUUUUCUUUUUCCUGGUUACAUUUUUUUAUCUCUUUUUUUAUCAAGUCUUGUUUUGUGUCUUGUAAGAUCACCCUUUUUAUACCAUCCUUAGUCGUUUCUCUUUUAUAUUCUUUCUUUACAGUCAGAUACUCAGUACUGUGUUUUUCUUUUUGUUUGCCCCAAAACAUUUUAUUGAAAUCUUUCAGUUUCAUUUUUUUUUCAGUUUCUUUUAUUUCAGUUGUUUUCCUUUCCUCUUUUAUGUUUUCAUUUUUUUGUUUUAAUAUGUCUAUUUCUUUUUUGAUUUUACAGCCUCUCAUGUCAAGUUUCUGGUUCUUUUUCAACAACUCUUUCACUCUUUCAAGAUCCUCUUUGUCUUGACUCUCGUCUGCACUUAAGUCAUCCAAGGCAUCUUUUUCUAUCUCAUAUAUUUUUUCCCUUUCAUUUUCAUGCUUUCCUUGCUCCGUCUUGAUUUUUGUCUCCACUUGUUCCCCAUGUUUUGGCUCUUGUUGUAUGUUUUUUAAUGCACACCGUAUAAUUUCCUUUUGCCUAUUUAAUUCACUUUUAAUAUUCAGUGUUUCUUUCCUUUUGGUCAUGUAGAAAUUUUUUUGGUCUUGCAUGUGUUUAUUUUCAUUCUGAAUUAUUCCAAUGAUGAAUUGAGUGUUUUUAAUUACCUUUUUAUAUUCCCCUAAGUAUUUCUUGAUUAGUUCCCAUUGUUUUUGAAUUUGUUUCCUUUUUUCUUUCAUCCUCAUGUCUUCAAUUUCACUUUGCAUCCCUUUCUUUUCUUUUUGCAACUUCUGCUUUAUUUCUUGUUCACCUUGAUGUUUGAUGAUCUCCUCUCGUCGUUGUUCAACCUCCUUUUUCUGCUUUGUUUCUCUCACGAGGGCAGUUCUUUCUUCUUUGAAAGUAGCCCAUAUUCUUUUUAUCUUCUGUUCUUUUUGAAUGCUUCUUUUGAUUACACGUUGGUUUUCUCUUUUCUUCAUCUCCAGCUCAACCACCAGAACUUCUAUCUCUUGUCUUUCCCUUUUAAUAUUUUCUAGUCUCAUAUCAAGCUUCUGUUUUUCUCUUUGGAUUUUUUCCCAGAUGUUGAUUGUUUCAUCCAUCUCUGCAGUGUCUUGUAUGGUAACUCUUCCAAAGAGUAUAUUAAGCUGAUAUUUUAACCUCUUCAUUUUGUUUGUUAUAUUCUUAUUUUCAGCCUCAACUUCUCUGAAUCCUUUUUUGUCCUUUUCUAAAUGAGCAUUCACAUUUUCUAGAAUUUUCAUCUCUGUCCUAAUUGUUCCCAUGUGUAAAUUAAACUUGUCUCUUAUGUCUUGGAUGUAAAUAGUAUACUGAGAAACUUUUAAGCUGUGGUUUUUGAUUUUCUCCAUUAACAUUUUCACAUCUUUCCUUCCAAAAUGUUUUUCAUGUUCAUUGGGUAGAUGGAUGAACAGAUUAUGGUCUCUCUGCUUCUCCUCAGCCAGCUCUUCCAUCUGUCGUUUCAAUUUUACCCUUAACACUUCUAGUUCAUCCCUUUUUCUCAUAGUCAUCUCCAGUCUUUGGUCUAAUUCUCUUCUUUUCUUUUUGAUCUCGGUCCUCAAUGCUUCCUUUUCUUGUUGUAUUUCAUACCACAUUAUUUCAAUUUCCUCCUUUUUUCUCAUACUUUUUCUAAAAAAACGCUCAAAUUCUUUUACCUUUAUUUUCAAUUCUGAUUGCAGCAGCUCCAUUUCUCUUAUUUGCCUUUUGGUCAUGUGUACUCCGUCAUCAAGCUCCUGUUCUUUUCUUUCAGUUUUCUCCCUCAAAUGGUUCACCUGUUCCUCCUGUAUUUCUGUUUCAGUUAGCUGUUUAACCAUUUUCUCAUUCUUUAUCGCUGUUUGGAUCUGUUCUGUCAUCUCAGUCUCUUCUCUCUUGAUUAUUUGUUUUACAUUCUCACUAACUGAUUUUUUAUUUUUUUGACCCAGACUGUCUAAUGAAAGUUUUACCUCCUCCAGUUUCUCAUUAACUUGUUUGAGGCUUUCUGUUCCCUCAGUUUCUUUGUCCAUUUUGUUUUUUGUCAGUUUAUCUCUUUUAUUGUCCAUUGUCUUCUUAAUUUCAGUCUUGAAAAUUUCAAGAGCAGUUCUUUGCUUAGGUGUACUACCAUGUUCCAUGUCUGGUUUUGCGCCUUUUGUCAAGUUAAGGUUAAUGCAGUCAAGGUCUUUAAACUGUCUUAGUUUUAUUUCAGUCUCCUUCAUACUAAUUUCUAUCUCUUCAAUUUUCCUUCUGGUCUUAGCAGCUAUUUUCUCGACUGUGCUCUUAACUUUUGCCAUUUUUUCUAAAUUCUGCCGAAUCAGUUCAGUUUGCCUCUGCAUUUUUAUUUUAAAGAUGUCUAAUCCAUCUCUCUCUUUCAAAGUAUUUUCUAAUCUUUGAUCUAAUUCUCUUCUCUUCUUUUUCACUGCAGUUUUCAUUGAUUUUAUAUUGCUCAUUUCUUCUGUCAUAUGUACUUCACUUUGCUUUAUUUUGGUUUUUACAAUUUCCAAAAACUCUUGAAACUGUUUGAUGUCUUUUAGCAAUCCUUCAAUUUCACUGCCUUCAUUCUGUUGAUAUUUGUCCAUGUUAUUUUUUUCCGCUAGGUUCUCAAGUCCUCCUCUUAGCGUUCUUAUAAUCUCUUGUGUUUUGUAAAUCUCUGCCCUGAGUCUUUGUAUAUCGGCUCCUCUGUCCUUUUUAUCUUCAUCGGUGUGUUCAACAUGUUUUUUCAUCUCUUCUCCUGAUUUCUGAAUUAGUUUUUGCUUGUUAACAUUAAGCCUUAUCAAGCUAGACUCUUGUUUUAUUUUUUUGGCAUCGUCCCCCUCUUGUACUUCAUAUUUUAUUAUUUCAUUUUUGAAAACUUUGGUGUUCAGCAUCAAAAUCUUUCUCUGUUCAGUUUCUUCCAACAGCUUAGUUAAUACUUCCUGGGCAUUUUCAGUUUCCCCGACUGUAAUUACAGUGUCUGCCCUCUGCAGGUCAUUUAUUUCCAAAAUGAGCCUUUUUAUAUCUUGAGUUUUUUCGUUCAUGUUAUCAAUAGUGUACUUUAUUUGUUCCUUUAUUUCCCCCUCUUGCUGCUUUAGGUUACGUAUCAGUUUUUCCACUUCUUCCCUUUCUCUUACAAUUAUCAGUAAUUCAGUUUUAUCAUGCACUACUUCUUCAUGAAUUUCAGUUCGCAUCUGUAAGCAAAAGUCCUGCUCCCCAUUUUUGCCUUCUGCAAAACAAUAUUUGGAUUCAAAAUGCUCCUUCUGUUGUUCUUUUAUUUUUUUAUUUUGAUGCUGAUCAUCUAAUGUUACAGAAUUUUGUAAUGAUGUUGUAUCUGUUAUACUUUUUUUCCCUUUUUUGUCCUUUGGAAUUGCUGAUGUUUGAUCCUCAAGGGAGUCUGUGUCUAUUUCAUACUGUGAUUCUUGAAGUUUGGAUGCGUUCACUGAAAAAGUAUGUUUGAUUGUAGAUUGUGCCAAUAUCCAUUUGUUGACCCAAGUUUUCAUGGAUGUCAGUUUUUCCUUCACAAAAACAGAAAAAAAGAGCUUUUUUUGUUUUUGAUGACACCAAGACAACAAUAAAGAUCUUCUUAAAACAUCUAUGUUUUAAUUUUUUGUUUCACAUUUAUGGAUCUUACUAGGGUUGGGCCAUAUGUAAAAAUUUUCCAACCGACAAUUGUCAGUCCAAUAAUCGACGAUGGGCGAUAUAUUCGCGCAUACGCAGACUUGUUGAUUGGCAGAGCAAUGUAGCCAUGCAUGGAGUGAUUUGCACAUUUACAACACAGAUGAAGUCCAAACAUGGACGAACUAAUUUCCCCAAAAAAUUAGGGCUGUCAACAUUUAUGCGGUCAUCACGAUUAACCCAUCUGGAGUGCAGAAUGAAUAAACUUUGGACAAACUGCUCGAAAUGCGUUGAGAGAGACAUUUAAGGGAUUUUGACUCAGUCUGCGAUCCAGAUGGGUUAAUUGUUAAACGCGUUAGUCGUGAUGGUGGCACUUUAACGUUGACAGCACUAAAGAAAUAUAAAGUUGCCAAGUUGGGAUUUCUUUGGCUUUAAACCAGAUGAAAAUAGUAAACCUAAGGAUGUAACCAAAACGGUCUGCCCCUUGUGCAGAUGUAUAAGUAUAAGUACUCAAACACGACUAACUUGCAUGAGCAUGUACGUGUCCACCAUCUGGCUGAGUAUGCUAGUGUAGUGAAGCAGAUUUUGGGGUAGGAUUUUACGUGAUGUCCUCGAUUGCAGCACUAACAUCCACCUUCCCAGCUGAUAAUUAGCAACCUUAUAAGAAACAGCUGCGCUUCACUACCACAUGGAGGUAUUUGGCAGUCUUUUCCCAUCCAAGGUGGCUGAGAGCAUUAGGCAGCUUAAGCACUGCAGAGCUCCUCAGGAAAGCUGCUCAUUUUAGUAUUGCCCUUUAGUAGUGAUGGCCAAAUGAAGCUUUCCGAAGCACUGAAGCUUGUAUUGAAAAACGGUUCAUUACUCGAAGCUUUUCAACACAGUCCUCUCUGGUGACAUCUGGUGGCCAAAAAUACAAAGAGCAGCUUGAAUCCACAAAAUAAAACCAACUGCUUCAUUAUGAUUGCCCACUCUACUGAGUGGAAUUCUGUCUGAUAUUGGGCCGCCGUUGUGUUGCUUUGAACGUGUAUUUUUUGGUGGUUAAAAAAAUGUGUUUUAUUUGUUUAAUAAAUAGUUUUGACCAGUAAACUCUCCUUGUUAUGCACCAUGGUGUGGUCUUCCUUUGCUUGUGACUUCUUGAUGUUGGUAAAUACAAUAAUUGAAAAAUACCACGUUACAUAUAAUAUGUACAACACAUUAUGGAGUAUGCUUCUGCUCUGAGGUCCUGCCUCCAUGCACUUAUGCAAUCAAUCGCUAGACAGGUGUAUUUAUAAAUAAUAUUAUAUUAGGGAAAUUUCCCCAGACAUAUAUUUGACCUGGGGGUAGAAUUGAUUGUGAAAUGGAAAAGGAAAAUGCUUAUGAACUUGCAAAUUAAAAACAUUAUGCAUUUAAGGUAACCCUUUUUCAUUUUUAUUUAAAAAGAAAAUUUGUUCUAGUGUGCGAUGGCCGAACCUGUUCCUUUUCGUGGAGAUAAUUUCUCCUGCCUUAAGGAAAAUCCCUUCACAUGGCCCAGAGGAGGCUGGAGUGCAGAGAAACUGGUAGAGAUGCAGUUAUACAGUCUACCUGGGCCCCACAAACGAUCAGAUAAAGAGAAUAAAUAAAUUCAAUUGCUGCACAUUUGGCAGACUAACAUUUUCAGAUUAAUUAAACAAUAAAAUAUAUAUUUUUACAACAUUACAUGUAAAGAGUCAAGUGGAAGUUUUUCUAAAGUUAUUUAAUGAUAUUUAUAUUAUGGAAGCAGAUUUUUGACAUUUUACCUUUUUCCCGUUUUCAGAUAUAAUAAACACGCACAAAACAAAAGCAAACGGCCAGAACACAAAGCUGGAAAACCCACCGGAUUGACAAAAAAUCAACUCAAAAUUCUCCCACACAACAGAACCUCCUCAAUUCCUCGCUGGCUCCAAAUCUCUCAGUGGAAUGAUCAGUGGUUCGCUGUCACCAUCAAAACACUCCACAAAUCCCGUGAAUGAUUCGCUUCCUUAUAAACCAUUGAAUCAGAUACCGAAGCAGUUAGGCUCUAAAUGAAGCUUCGGACGUCACCGAUCACGUGACUCUGGCCAAACGAAUCAAGCUUCGACACAGUGCUUCUGAAGCAGUGUGUUGAUUUUUUUGACACACGCACCAGAGCUUCAGCUUCAAGCGGGUCAUCACUACCCUUUAGAGAAUGGUAAGAGGGACUCUUGCAUUUGUCAUAAUGUGGCAUAUAGUAGGGUGGACCUUGACGACUGUUUCCCUCUUUUGUUACAGGAUUGUGCCAUACUGCUGCUGUUUUGUGCUAUCUUGUUUUGUGUCGUUCUUUCUUGUUCAGUUUUGUUCUGUCUUGUUGUGGCCUUACAAAUGUUUAUGGACUGGCCUCGACUGACUCUUUAUGAUCUUUUACUUGGAAUUGUUUUAUAUAUUGUAAUCUUGCUUUUAUAAAGAACUGUAACUUAGGGAUGGUUUGUUUUAUUUAUCUCUUUUACUAAUUUGUUUAAUGUUUUACGCUUAGUUUUAUUGCUUUAGUGGAGGUGCGGCCGCUUGUUGAGGGGCUAGGCACAUGAGGUGGAAUCCCCUCCUCGAUGCAUGAGAGUGUACACACCAGGCAUAGGUAGACCGCACCAUUUAGAUUUCAGUGUGAGUGACGGUGAGGUUUGCUGUGGAACUACAUUGGUGAGUAAUUGGUGGUACCCUUGGGCACUCCUCUCUGUAGGUUGCCUCAAGUGGCCGGUCUCAACUAUUUUGUUUAGUUACUUUAUCGAGUUAUUUUACUAGGGUGGCAGCGAGCCUUGUGGUUUUAAUCAUUGUUUGUUAAUUGUUUUAAUUAACAGUCUUGCAGUCUUGGCCCUGCUACCCUAAGAACUCUGAUUUCAGUUCUAUGCUUUUUAGUAGUUUUUCUUAAUAAAUUUUGAUUUGUAAAACUGAUCUGCCUCACCUCUGCUGUUAAUAACUAGCCUGUGGGCUUAGGUAGAUAGUGUAACAUCUACACUGGCUAUAAAAAAAUCUUUCCUGGGGUGUAACUCUCCUCUCAGGUGGCGUUGUCACCUUCCCUGGUUAUCCCUCAUUUGCGCCACCACACAAGGCUAUCACCAGCUUCUGCAGCUCCAUCAACAAGCAUUUGGGCACACUCUCAGGAGGGUGCAUUUGCUCACAGAUGACAGAGGGUGCUUUUAAACCAGUACUCUUAAUAUUUUUUUUUUGACUGAUUCUAUUUGCUCCAUCAUUAUUAGCAAACUUACUCAUGGGCAAAUAAAUAAAUCGCCAGUGGGCUCAGCCUAUAGUUGAUAUAUUCGUCCAAUCACCCAACCCUAGAUCUUACACAGACUGCUAUGCUCCUGAGCCUGGCAGUUGCAAUAAAUGUAGAAAUCUUCUAUCUCACUUAGGCUACAUCCACAGGUACCCGGGUAUUUUUGAAAACACAGAUUUUUCUAUGCAUUUGCACCUUUCGUCCACAUGCAAACGGUGUUUUCGGUCACUGAAAACAGAGAUUUUUAAAAACUCCAGCCAGGGUGGAUAUUUUUGAAACCUCAGUUUUUGCGUUUACGUGGACGAGAAAAAAGGAGAAAACGCAGCAUCAAAGGUGUGCGCAUUUUUUGACGUCAUACUGUGCGCCACGUUAUUGUUUCGAUGAAAUGAGUUUCUACAAUGGUGGACUUACACAAAAUACCAUUACUGUUAAUUUUACUCUGCAGUGUUUAAAUGCUUACACAUUUGCUGUCCCUCCACACAUAGGACUCAGUUCUGCUUCUAUUCGCCAUCUUUGUUUACUCUUUCCCACCCAGGCUGACUUCUGAUUGGCCAACAUUUCUACACGGAUAGGAAUAUAGCGCCACCUGCUGCUUUGGCAUGUUCCUAGCAGCGUUUUCCUUUGUUUUUGGCUUUUACGUGUGGAUGGGAUUUUUUUUUUAAAAAUGGAAAAUCUCAGUUUUCAAAAAUACCCAUGUAAGUGUGGACGUAGCCUUACAUGGAUAAGGAUCAAGAUGACAUGGAAUGAGUUUACUACUAUGAGCAGAAGUUAUUCAUGCUUAACUGUAAAUGUUUACUGUUCUUUUUUUUCAUUAAAUUAAAUAUAACAUUAUCAGCAUCUUAUCAGCACAGUGUGAUGCCAUUCUGGUAGCAGACUUAGCUUUGAUUACACACAGGCACACUGAUGUCUGCAUGGACAUUUGUGCCCACCGUCUGAUGACAUAAUUUACUUUACUAUAGCAGACUUAAGUGCACUCAAUCAUUCUUCACCUUUCUUUCUCUAUUGCCUGCCACUGGUGUAUGUCUAUCUUUUCCAUGUUUAAAGGGCACCCCCCACCCCAAAACAAAAAAACACAUCUGGUGGUAGGCGGUAUUUUCGCCACUGACUCCAAAAUCCACCGUUCCCAAUGCAUAACUGAUUAUUUUUACACAUUCUUUUGCAUUUCAGUUUGUUAGGUUUAUACAGUAAAAUUACUUAUGUAAUUAACAUUCCAUGCUUGAACCAAGUGGGAAACAUUGGAGAAAAAGUCAGAAAUGUUAACUUUGCAUAGCCUGGGGAUAGUUCUUAUCAUCUUUAGGAUGGCUAGAAUAAUUUCCACAACUUAUUGACAACAGCAACUACAGUAUGUGGAUAUCAGUAACCAUACCCUUUCAAUUGUCAGAAUAUUAAAAAAUUAUGUAUACGCAAAUUACAAUUUCAAGCUCAGUUAAACCCAAACUGUUAUAUCAGGCAUCUUACUACUUUUUUACAGUUUUAUUGGAGUACUUAAUGGAGUAUUUCUUCCAACAAUUCCAGUCGGUAAAUAAAGGAAUCGUUAUCAAAUACUGAAUGUCUAUCAACUAAAAGCAGGUUCAAUAAAAAUCAGGGGAUCCUGACAAGAAAUACCUAAAAGGAAAGAAUAAAUACUUACCAUAUAGUUCUUGGCUUCUUCCUGGUUCUUACUAAUCUCCCUUUGGGUUCUCUGCAUUUUCUCCCAAGUGUUGUUCAUUUCUGCACCAGUUUUUUCUAUUUUACCUUUUAUCUCAGUGACAGUAUUUUCCAGUUUUUGUUCAACCCUUUCCUUUUGUCGCUGUAUUUUUGUCUUCAUGAUUUCUAACUCAUCCCUCUCUUUCCUUAUCUUCUCCAGCAAACGCUCAAGCUCCCUUCUUUUUUGCUUUUCUCGAAAAUUUGUCCAUUUCGUUUGAGCCUUUACUUCUGUAAAGUCCCUCAUGCUCUGCUUUGUUUCUUCACCCUUGUUACAAAGCACUUCAUUGUUUUCUUCUUCCUCAGAGAUCAAAUUCUGCAUGUAAGUAUUUGGUUUGUCUUUUUCUACAUUUUCCCUUCCUGUCUUUAGUUUCAUUUCAACUCUCUUUAAAUCAUCUCUUUCAGGCUGGAUGUGUGUCACUUUAAAGCUUAGAUCUGAAUCUUGUUGCUUUUGAUAAUCAAUAUUCAUCUUGAUGUUCAUGUGAUUGUUCUCUGCCAUUAGCUGCUGCUUUGCACUUUGAGUCACUUCCAGUUGUUGUUCACUGUCUUCCAGCACAUCCCAAAGUUUCUCCAUCUCUUCCUGGAUUCUACACAGUUUUCUCUUCACUGUGUCAAAUGUGGCUUUUCCAUCGUUUCUUUCUCUCUGUCCUUCUUUAUACAUGUGAAUUUUCUUCAUUUCAGCCUGUUUUAUAAUGCUUGCCCAUCUGUGCUUGACCAUGUUGAUCUUUACAUACAUAAUAUGUUUAAUGUGGUUAAUUUGUUCACUGUUUUUUGAAAUGUCCUUUUUAUUUCUUUUUAAUGCUUGCUGUAUGUUUGCUUUAGUUUUCUCCAUUUUUUCUUUAACUUUCUUUACUUCAAGCAUUAUUUCCCUGUUUUUCUCAGUUGCAUUCUCCAGUAUAUCCAGUUCCCGCUUUACCUGCUCAUUAAGGGGCUCUUUGGGUUCCUCCCUUAUUGGUGAUUCUGUCUUACUAGCUUUUAUAGUGUCUAGCUUGUGUCGCUCGUUGAUGAAGUAUUGACGUCUUCUGUCCAGAGUAUCCUUUUCUUGAUAUAUUUUAGUCCACGUUUUCAGAAAGUUUGUUUUUUCCUUAGCAACUGAAUUUUUGCUUUGUUUGAGUUUCUCAGUUAUAUUUUUUAUUUGGAAGUUAAAUUGCUUUAAUAGUAGGUGAUGUUUAUUUUUUUCAGAUGUCAGUCUCUCAAUGUCUUCCUGUUGCCCCUCUGUCUUUGUCUUUAAGAAGUCAAUUUCAUUUGUCUUUCUUUCUGUCUGUCUCCAGAGUUGUUCGAUCUCCUCCAUUGCUUGACAUAUCAGUUGCCUUUGUCUUUUUAAAGUUUCUUUUUGGGUUUUCAUGUCAGUUCUUGUUUGUUUGCUAUCUGAUUGCUUUCUGUUUUCCAUUGUUGAGUUCCAUUCUGUUGUCAUCCUGCUGUCUUUGUUCUGUUGGUAAAAAUAAAUGAAUAAACAAAGUGGCCAAACCAUAACUAACAAAUGACAAGACAUUCUAAACUCAUACUGUGUUGGAAGAUAACAAGUAAAAGAGGGAUAACCAGAAAUUGACAGAUGGAUUGGGGCCACAACUGCAGUCAUGUGGAUUCUGUACCAGUCCAUCAUGGUGAACAGAGAGCUAAAUAUAAAAGCGAAGAUCUCAAUUUACUGUUUGCUCUACAUCCCUACCCUCACCUAUGGUCAUAAGCUUUGGGUAGUGAUUGAAAGAACAAGAUCACAGAUACAAGCAUGACAUUAGCUUUUUCUGAAGGGUGGCUGCUAAUCCUGCACAUUGAAAGAAGCCAGUUCGGGUGGUUUGUGUGUCCCACAGGGCGGAGGCCCUGGAGGCCUGGGGUUCUCUGCUUAGACUGCUGCCCCCACGACCCAGCCACAGAGAAGAUGGAUAAAUGACAUAAUUGUUUAUAUCACAUUUACAGUAUUUUUUUGGCAACAAUGUAAUAAUGUAGUUGGGUUAUCUGAGGUCUGUUCUAUAGCAAAUGUAGAAAAAAUGUUUUAAGAAGAGCCAAUAUAACUCAGUGUUCUAAAGAAUGUGACUGUUUCCUUGCAAGACCAUAGCGCGGCUACGUCUGCAGCCUGUCCACAGCUUGGACACAAACAUUUCACUGCAUGUGUUACUCUGUAUGAUUGUUGUUUAAUGCUUUUUAAAAUCAUAUUCAAGUAGAUUUUGAAAUGAAGAUAGCUUGUAUUUUUGUUUUUUGCAUUAGAGGUGUUUAAGAAAAGUUGAGUUUUGUAAUUGCAUUUUUACCUUGUUUAUACUUGUACUUUUUUUUUUUUUUAAUAAAUAUCUUGUAUGUAAGGUGACCUUGAGGGUCUUUAAAGGUGCUUAUAAAUAAAAUGUAUUGUUGUUGUUGUUAUUGUUAUUGUUAUUGUUGUUAUUAUUGUUAUUAUUGUUAUUAUUGUUAUUAUUGUUAUUGUUGUUAUUGUUAUUGUUGUUAUUGUUGUUAUUAUUGUUGUUGUUGUUGUUAUAUUUUUUCUCAAUAAUAAUAAUAAUAACACAAAUGCAUAAGCUGCAAACAUGUUAUAUAGUUGUUUGGAAUAGAAUUACAAUGAGAUUAUCUUGGUUUAACAAGAGGUAACUGGAUAUGUUCAGACUUUAAAUGUAAACAUAGCCAAUUUGCAUUGAAUUACCC
ensembl:lncRNA